UUCUAGGAACGUAGAGUGGAAU
rnacentral:piRNA from 1 species